GGCCUAACACAUGCAAGUCGAGCGGUAGAGAGAAGCUUGCUUCUCUUGAGAGCGGCGGACGGGUGAGUAAUGCCUAGGAAUCUGCCUGGUAGUGGGGGAUAACGUUCGGAAACGGACGCUAAUACCGCAUACGUCCUACGGGAGAAAGCAGGGGACCUUCGGGCCUUGCGCUAUCAGAUGAGCCUAGGUCGGAUUAGCUAGUUGGUGGGGUAAUGGCUCACCAAGGCGACGAUCCGUAACUGGUCUGAGAGGAUGAUCAGUCACACUGGAACUGAGACACGGUCCAGACUCCUACGGGAGGCAGCAGUGGGGAAUAUUGGACAAUGGGCGAAAGCCUGAUCCAGCCAUGCCGCGUGUGUGAAGAAGGUCUUCGGAUUGUAAAGCACUUUAAGUUGAGAGGAAGGGCAGUAAAUUAAUACUUUGCUGUUUUGACGUUACCGACAGAAUAAGCACCGGCUAACUCUGUGCCAGCAGCCGCGGUAAUACAGAGGGUGCAAGCGUUAAUCGGAAUUACUGGGCGUAAAGCGCGCGUAGGUGGUUAGCUAAGUUGGAUGUGAAAUCCCCGGGCUCAACCUGGGAACUGCAUUCAAAACUGACUGACUAGAGUAUGGUAGAGGGUGGUGGAAUUUCCUGUGUAGCGGUGAAAUGCGUAGAUAUAGGAAGGAACACCAGUGGCGAAGGCGACCACCUGGACUGAUACUGACACUGAGGUGCGAAAGCGUGGGGAGCAAACAGGAUUAGAUACCCUGGUAGUCCACGCCGUAAACGAUGUCAACUAGCCGUUGGGAGCCUUGAGCUCUUAGUGGCGCAGCUAACGCAUUAAGUUGACCGCCUGGGGAGUACGGCCGCAAGGUUAAAACUCAAAUGAAUUGACGG
rnacentral:rRNA from 1 species